UACGGGGGGGGCAAGCGUUGUUCGGAAUUACUGGGCGUAAAGGGCGUGUAGGCGGCCAACUAAGUCCGACGUGAAAUCCCCAGGCUCAACCUGGGAACUGCGUCGGAUAUUGGAUGGCUUGAAUCCGGGAGAGGGAUGCAGAAUUCCAGGUGUAGCGGUGAAAUGCGUAGAUAUCUGGAGGAAUACCGGUGGCGAAGGCGGCAUCCUGGACCGGCAUUGACGCUGAAGCGCGAAAGCUAGGGGAGCAAACGGG
rnacentral:rRNA from 1 species